CUGGUCUGUAACUGACGCUGAGGCUCGAAAGUAUGGGUAGCAAACAGGAUUAGAUACCUGGUAGUCCAUACCGUAAACGAUGAAUGCUAAGUGUUGGAGGGUUCCGCCUUUCAGUGCUGCAGCUAACGCAUUAAGCAUUCCGCCUGGGGAGUACGGCCACAAGGCUGAAACUCAAAGGAAUUGACGGGGGCCCGCACAAGCGGUGGAGCAUGUGGUUUAAUUCGAAGCUACGCGAAGAACCUUACCAGGUCUUGACAUACUAUGCAAUCUAAGAGAUUAGACGUCCCUUCGGGGACAUGGAUACAGGUGGUGCAUGGUUGUCGUCAGCUCGUGUCGUGAGAUGUUGGGUUAAGUCCCGCAACGAGCGCAACCCUUAUUAUCAGUUGCCAGCAUUAAGUUGGGCACUCUGGUGAGACUGCCGGUGACAAACCGGAGGAAGGUGGGGAUGACGUCAAAUCAUCAUGCCCCUUAUGACCUGGGCUACACACGUGCUACAAUGGAUGGUACAACGAGUUGCGAACUCGCGAGAGUAAGCUAAUCUCUUAAAGCCAUUCUCAGUUCGGAUUGUAGGCUGCAACUCGCCUACAUGAAGUCGGAAUCGCUAGUAAUCGCGGAUCAGCAUGCCGCGGUGAAUACGUUCCCGGGCCUUGUACACACCGCCCGUCACACCAUGAGAGUUUGUAACACCCAAAGCCGGUGAGAUAACCUUCGGGAGUCAGCCGUCUAAGGUGGGACAGAUGAUUAGGGUGAAGUCGUAACAAGGUAACCA
rnacentral:rRNA from 1 species